UCGAGAAUUUUUCACAAUGGGCGAAAGCCUGAUGGAGCGACGCCGCGUGGGGGAUGAAUGGCUUCGGCCCGUAAACCCCUGUCAUUUGCGAUCAACCGUUAUUAUUUAAAAGAUGAUAACCUGAUAGUAGCGAAAGAGGAAGGGACGGCUAACUCUGUGCCAGCAGCCGCGGUAAUACAGAGGUCCCAAGCGUUGUUCGGAUUUACUGGGCGUAAAGGGCGCGUAGGUGGCGGCGUAAGUCGGAUGUGAAAUCUCCGAGCUCAACUCGGAAACUGCAUUGGAAACUACAUUGCUCGAGGGUUGGAGGGGGGACUGGAAUACUUGGUGUAGCAGUGAAAUGCGUAGAUAUCAAGUGGAACACCAGUGGCGAAGGCGAGUCCCUGGACAACUCCUGACACUGAGGCACGAAAGCUAGGGGAGCAAACAG
rnacentral:rRNA from 1 species